UACGUAGGGGGCUAGCGUUGUCCGGAAUCAUUGGGCGUAAAGCGCGUGUAGGCGGUCCGGUAAGUCCGCUGUGAAAGUCGGGGGCUCAACCCUCGAAAGCCGGUGGAAACUGUCGGGCUAGAGUGCGGAAGAGGCGAGUGGAAUUCCUGGUGUAGCGGUGAAAUGCGCAGAUAUCAUCAGGAAUACCGGAGGCGAAGGCGGCUCACUGGGUCUCUUCUGACGCUGAGGAACGAAAGCUAGGGGAGCAAACGGG
rnacentral:rRNA from 1 species